GUGAAGUGGGCUGGCUCGGUAGCAACGGCAAAACCGGUUCAACCCACAACAGAAGUGCAUACUUAAAAAGCGCCCAAGCAGCAGGCAAGUGCAAGAAAAAGUCACAGAGCGCUUUCUGCGAGCAUCGUUGCUACCGCAGCGUGUCUUUUCGCUCAGCAGAUAUUAGCCAGUGAUGAUCAGGGGCCCUUCUUUUUUUGCCUCUUCCGGGGAAUAAUUUUAAAAUUAAACGGGAAUAAUCUGGGGAUAAUCGAAUCGAACAACACUUUUAGACAACCACUACAUUUGUGUUAUUCUGAAAAACAAAUUAAGGAUCAUCCCGCUGGUUUCGUUUUCGGGGCUGCGACUCUAUGCUAGCUGAGCACAAGUUGGGACACGAGCUAGGGAGCUAGCACUCGGCGUAGUUAGCCGAAAAAGGCAGCGAGGCAAGCGGUCGUCGCCUCACCCUCACCGAGCGUCUGCGAGAUGGGUUUACUGACUCAAGGUUCCCCCCUCAACUGGGAAAACACCAAGAAGUAUGCGGAUUACAUCCGAUCGCACGGCAUCAUUCAGUUCAUCAACAUUUACAACAAUUUGAAGGACCGGCAGAAGGAUGUACUCAAAUGGGGCGAUGAGGUGGAGUACAUGUUGGUGGAACUGGAUGACAAGGAUGAAAAGGUUCAACUGGUGUUGAAUGGCGAUGAAGUUUUGGAUACCCUCCAAGGCCAAGGUGAAAAGAUAAAUCCCAACCAUCCCACGCUUUGGAGGCCAGAAUAUGGCAGCUACAUGAUAGAAGGAACUCCAGGGCAGCCGUAUGGCGGCACCAUGUCGGAGUUUAACACUGUCGAGAGCAACAUGGGGAAGAGACGACGAGAGGCUUCUUCUGUCCUCAACCAAAAUGAAAUUCUCUGCACAAUCACCUCUUUUCCAAGACUGGGUUGCCCCGGUUUUACGAAGCCUGAAUAUCCGCCAACACCUUUUGAGAGUGGAGCAUCAAAGUCACUGUUUUUCCCAGAUGAAGCCAUUAACCACCACCCAAGAUUCAGCACCCUCACCAGGAACAUACGUCACAGACGAGGAGAGAAAGUCGCAAUCAAUGUACCAAUAUUCAAAGACAAGUGCACGCCAUCUCCUUUCGUGGAAACGUUUCCUGAAGAUGAUGGGGAGUCGGCAAGGGCAGCUCUGCCUGACCACAUCUAUAUGGACUGCAUGGGCUUUGGGAUGGGCAACUGCUGCCUGCAGGUUACUUUCCAAGCUUGCAGCAUCGAUGAGGCAAGAUACCUCUAUGAUCAACUUGCGACAUUCUGCCCGAUAGUGAUGGCUCUGAGCGCAGCCUCUCCCUUCUACAGAGGCCACGUGUCAGACAUCGAUUGUCGCUGGGGGGUUAUUUCUGCCUCAGUGGAUGACAGGACACAGGAGGAACGUGGCCUCAAGCCUUUAAAAAACGACAAAUAUAGAAUCUUCAAGUCAAGAUACGACUCCAUUGACAGCUACUUGUCUAACUGCGGCAACAAGUAUAACGACAUUGAUUUGACGAUCGAUGAGGACAUCUACAAUCAGCUACUGGGUGCAGGAAUUGACAAGCUGCUGGCCCAGCACAUUGCUCACCUCUUUAUCCGAGAUCCGCUGUGCGUCUAUGAGGAGAAAUUGCAACAGGACGACGAGAAUGAGUCGGACCACUUUGAGAACAUCCAGUCAACCAAUUGGCAGACGAUGAGGUUCAAACCACCUCCUCCCAACUCGGACAUCGGCUGGAGAGUUGAGUUCCGCCCGAUGGAGGUGCAGCUCACCGAUUUCGAGAACGCUGCUUAUGUGGUCUUUGUCGUCCUGCUCACCAGAGUGAUUUUGUCCUACAAACUGGACUUCCUCAUCCCUUUAUCCAAGGUGGAUGAAAACCUAAAAAUGGCACAGAAGAGAAACGCAGUGAAGGAUGGAAUGUUCUACUUCCGAAAGGACAUCUUCAAAGGAUGCAACCCAGGCCUGGAUGGCACAUCCUCGGCCCAGAACGGUUUGGAGACAGACGGAGCUAACGAGGAGUACACCCUGAUGAGCAUCGACACUAUCAUCAAUGGACAAGAGGGAGUUUUUCAAGGGCUCAUUCCUAUCCUCAAUUGCUAUCUGGAGAACAUGGAGGUUGACGUGGACACCAGGUGCACCAUUUUGAAUUACCUGAAGCUUAUCAAGAAGCGCGCCUCAGGCGAGCUGAUGACGAUGGCAAAGUGGAUGAGGGAGUUUGUGGCCAAGCAUCCCGAGUACAAUUUUAAAUAACUAGGAGGGAGUUUUUCAAGGGCUCAUUCCUAUCCUCAAUUGCUAUCUGGAGAACAUGGAGGUUGACGUGGACACCAGGUGCACCAUUUUGAAUUACCUGAAGCUUAUCAAGAAGCGCGCCUCAGGCGAGCUGAUGACGAUGGCAAAGUGGAUGAGGGAGUUUGUGGCCAAGCAUCCCGAGUACAAGCAGGACAGCGUCAUCAGCGACAAGAUCAACUACGACCUCUUUGUGAAGUUCGACAGGAUUGCCAGGGGCCAAGAACAAUGCCCGGAGCUCAUUGGGAAUCCAGUCAACAAGGUUAAGUGAGAACCUUCGCUGGCAACAUGUAUCAGACAAAACGACCAAAUAUGUGGCUCUUGUUGAAAUCGAUCCAAUGUUUAAGAUAUGAUAAAACAUUGUUUUUAAAAGCAAAACAUCUGCAGCAAUCUUAUGUACUGUACAUAUACUGUAUCAGAAUUUUCUGACUGGAAAUUAUUUUAAUAAGGUUAAGACAUGCUCAAGUUAUGUCAGAAAUGGUGUAUUUAUUUUUUUCUGGGAAUCUGGAUGACAAUGUAAAUGUAGCAGAGUUGUACAGUAGUUUUUCCCCUCCUCUCUACUGUUAAUACUGCACUUGUGCUCUUUGCAACAUUAACACAGUGUGCCGUGCUGUGUGUUUGUCUCGUUGCAUCUGUGUGCGCUUUCUUCUACUUUGGGGAUAAGCUCCGUUUGAUUUCACCAAGAUGAUCUGUUUUGACUUUACUCAGAAUUGUAGUCGCAGGAAUACAAGUGGGGGUAGUUUACAUGUGAUGCUGCUUCAAAUAAAUCUGUAUGACACA